UCUCUAAGUUUCGAUGACGUGUACUAAGAGUUUCACUCCUUCAUAGCUACGGUACAUUUCGCACAGAAGCGCAGAUAACACCAUAUACUGUACGUGUAUCACAGGAGAGCUACCCAUUGCGUGACCUAUCUCAUUGCGUGACGAAGCACAUCUUAAAAGUAGUAAGGAACUGUUACAGCAGUGGGUGUCAUACACCCUUACCAGCUCUUCGGCGCCACGAAAACUUGAGCUUCGACCCCGCAUCGUCUAAUUCGCAUCUCGCCCUGGAGACCAGAAUGGAUGCUGAAUCUAUGGUCCCCUAUUUGGCUGUCGGAUACAUCGUAUGGAUCGCCACAGUCGGAGGGAUAGUCACCAUCGUCCGAGCCAUGGAGUAUCAGGAGGCUUUGAAGAAAGCCGUGGUGGUGGCUACCGCUCUCUAUGCUGUUUUUAGCGCCGUUUUACUUCUCAGUGACACGCAUAUGCGAACGAAGACCUAAAACAAUGGUCUUAACAGCGUGUGACAUUCUUCAGACAGCUGAACCUGAGUGGAGCGACUGAAGCAUUAUGGCUUUUAACAAAGGCGAAGGAAUAGUAAAAUAACUUCAAUAACUGUCGUCGUAUUUUUCUGUGUCGUAUGUUUACCCUAAAACAACAUAUCGUGAGAGGGACGGCAAGGAAUGCGAACCAGGACAGAAGUUGUCACCAGCUUGGAUUUUAAGUGUGCUGCAUAGACCAUGUAUGUUUUAUAAUCACGAUAGUGUGAACUGAUAAUGUGUGUGUGCUUUUUCUACAUCUGUAGAUAGACAAUUAGAAAGAAUCAUUCAUGUAUAUGUGCAAAAGCACUGCUAAGUAACACAACAUACCCGUCCGCACUGUU